GAAAGCUUUGUUUAAAAAAAGUUAUGUUUUAAUUUCUCUUCAUCAUCUAGCACUGUUGUACUGUAGAAAUUAAGGAUUUUAUUUGACAAUAACGACUAUUUUGUAAGUAUUUGGAUUCUCUAAACGACAAGUUUUCAAAAUAGCAAUCACAAUAUCAAUCACAACCAAAGUUAUGAAUAAUCAUAGUAUACUUAUAGCGUGAGCGUAAAUGUUAGAUAGUCAUGUAGUUUUGGUAACAUUGUAGUGUUUUUAUGACUAUGUCCCCGCGUUGCCAAGGAGAUUUCGUCAAGACCAUUAUAUAGUAUAGAUUUCGCCACUGGCCAGUUUUAAAUUAUUAAGUUAUUAAUAUUAUUGAUUAGAUUGGGUAUUAAUUGUUUUGAAUUCUAUGUCCAUUGAGCGAUUCGAAAAAUUGUACCAUUAAUUUGUUUGUAGAUUUGGUUGUUAAAAGAAUGGUAUUACAUUUGCUCGAUUUCAAUUAAUUUCAUGGCAAUCUCAUUUUGUUUUUGAUGAUAAGUACGGAAAGCUAAAUGUUUGUUUGAUCCUCGGUUAUUUUAACAUUGUGUCUGUGAUAACACACUGCAAAACGGAAUAGAAACUAAAUUUUUUCAAUCCUAGUUGAUCAGUAUAAAAUCACAUUUGUAAUCCGUUCAGUAGAUUUUUACCAAAUGCAUGUUGCAUAAUAAUAUAUAAUUCACAUCGAGUUCAAUCCAUGUUUAACCGUUCUCCCAUCAAUUUCAUGUUCUUGUACUUAGAGUUCUCUUGGAAUUCUCAAA